GACGAACGCUGGCGACGCGCUUAACACAUGCAAGUCGAACGGAAAGGCCUGCUUUCCCUUGUGGAUUGCGGGUACUCGAGUGGCGAACGGGUGAGUAACACGUGAGUGAUCUGCCCCCAACUUGGGUAUAAGCCUGGGAAACUGGGUCUAAUUCCCGAUAGGACUGCAGGGUGGUGCCUGUGGUGGAAAACGAUUUUCUAGUGGUUGGGGAUGAGCUCGCGGCCUAUCAGCUUGUUGGCGGGGUAAUGGCCUACCAAGGCGGCGACGGGUAGCCGGCCUGAGAGGGUGGACGGCCACAUUGGGACUGAGAUACGGCCCAGACUCCUACGGGAGGCAGCAGUGGGGAAUAUUGCACAAUGGGCGGAAGCCUGAUGCAGCGACGCCGCGUGGGGGAUGACGGCCUUCGGGUUGUAAACUCCUUUCGACCGCGAGGAAGCCACCUGGUUGGAAGGGUGGUGACGGUAGUGGUAGAAGAAGCACCGGCUAACUACGUG
rnacentral:rRNA from 1 species